rnacentral:rRNA from 1 species
ACAAGCGGCGGAGCAUGCGGAUUAAUCGAUGCAACGCGAAGAACCUUACCAAGGCUUGACAUACACCGGUAACGCCCAGAGAUGGGUGCCCCUUGUGGUCGGUGUACAGGUGUUGCAUGGCUGUCGUCAGCUCGUGUCGUGAGAUGUUCGGUUAAGUCCGCUAACGAGCGCAACCCUCGUCGUAUGUUAUAUGUGUCAUACGAGACUGCCGGUAAAAAGCCGGAGGAAGGUGAGGAUGAUGUCAAGUCAGCAUGACCUUUAUAUCCAGGGCUACACACACGCUACAAUGGUCUGUACAAUGGGUAGCCAAGCCGCGAGGCGGAGCCAAUCCUGAAAGCAGGCCUCAGUUCAGAUUGCAGUCUGCAACUCGACUGCAUGAAGCCGGAGUUGCUAGUAACCGCAGGUCAGCAAUACUGCGGUGAAUACGUUCCCGGGUCUU